UACGUAGGGACCAAGCGUUGUCCGGACUUACUGGGCGUAAAGCGCGUGCAGGCGGACGGGUAAGUGCCGUGUGAAAGCUCUCGGUUCAACUGGGAGAGGCCACAGUAGACAGCUCGUCUGGAGGCUCCGAGAGGGUGGUGGAAUUCCCGGUGUAGUGGUGAAAUGCGUAGAGAUCGGGAGGAACACCCGUGGCGAAAGCGGCCACCUGGCGGAGACCUGACGCUGAGACGCGACGGCGUGGGGAGCAAACAGG
rnacentral:misc_RNA from 1 species